rnacentral:rRNA from 1 species
AGUGAACGCUGGCGGUAGGCCUAACACAUGCAAGUCGAACGGCAGCACAGAGGAGCUUGCUCCUUGGGUGGCGAGUGGCGGACGGGUGAGGAAUACAUCGGAAUCUACUCUGUCGUGGGGGAUAACGUAGGGAAACUUACGCUAAUACCGCAUACGACCUACGGGUGAAAGCAGGGGACCUUCGGGCCUUGCGCGAUUGAAUGAGCCGAUGUCGGAUUAGCUAGUUGGCGGGGUAAAGGCCCACCAAGGCGACGAUCCGUAGCUGGGCUGAGAGGAUGGUCAGCCGCACUGGAACUGAGACACGGUCCAGACUCCUACGGGAGGCAGCAGUGGGGAAUAUUGGACAAUGGGCGCAAGCCUGAUCCAGCCAUACCGCGUGGGUGAAGAAGGCCUUCGGGUUGUAAAGCCCUUUUGUUGGGAAAGAAAUCCAGCUGGCUAAUACCCGGUUGGGAUGACGGUACCCAAAGAAUAAGCACCGGCUAACUUCGUGCCAGCAGCCGCCGUAA